UCAUUGUGGUUUAUUGCUAUAGUUGUCAGCACAAAAUGCAAUUUUGUGAACAGCAAUGGAAGCAAUGUGGAGGAGGGGGAAACAACACUAAAAUGAAAAUCAAUCAUAUUGAAGUAGCGGUAAAUUUUAAGUUGUUCCCUCAGUAAAGCAAGAGGAAGUGUCACAACUACCAGCUCAGGGUACUUCCUGAAAAGGAAAACCACUUAAAACUGUUGAUAGGGCAGAACUACUGUAUGGAUCCCAAAGUGUUAACAGAAGUGGUAUAGACGCAGUUCUAAAAAUACACAUUUAUUAAGAAUGUCAGUGGAACUGCAUGAGUUUUUCACUAGGGCUGACUUCCUUUCAUAUUAAUAAAUUUUGUCUGCUUGUGUGGUCUCUAAAGCAAUUUGAAAUUCUGUAUUUGCAUAUUAAUUUCUUAACCUUAACGUAGCAGUAGAAUAUCUAACUGUCUCCAUUUUAUUAUGUAUCUCAUGCAGGAAUUUAAAUUAAAGAAAACAAGAAGAAAAGAACCAAUUCAUUAAACCAAAA